AGGGAGAGUUUGGCGAAGAAGAGA
rnacentral:siRNA from 1 species